rnacentral:sRNA from 1 species
AUGGCUGUCGUCAGCUCGUGUCGUGAGAUGUUGGGUUAAGUCCCGCAACGAGCGCAACCCUUGUCCUAUGUUGCCAGCGGGUAAUGCCGGGGACUCGUAGGAGACUGCCGGGGUCAACUCGGAGGAAGGUGGGGACGACGUCAAGUCAUCAUGCCCCUUACGUCCAGGGCUGCACACAUGCUACAAUGGCCGGUACAAAGGGCUGCGAACCUGCGAGGGUGAGCGAAUCCCAAAAAGCCGGUCUCAGUUCGGAUUGGAGUCUGCAACUCGACUCCAUGAAGUUGGAGUCGCUAGUAAUCCCAGAUCAGCAACGCUGGGGUGAAUACGUUCCCGGGCCUUGUACACACCGCCCGUCAAACCACGAAAGUCGGCAACACCCGAAGUCGGUCACCCAACCUUUUAGGAGGGAGCCGCCGAAGGUGGGGUUGGUGAUUGGGGUUAAGUCGUAACAAGGUAGCCGUACCGGAAGGUGCGGCUGGAUCACCUCCUUUCUAAGGAGUUCACAAAGACAAAGCAGCGCAGUUUGUGCUGUGGCGUCGUGAGCAUCCCAGUCGGUCACUGAUUAUUCGAGGUCGUUCCCAACCUGCAUUCGGUUGACAGUUGAGCUUGCUCAACAGUCCUGAUACCCAGGCUCUGCGAACUUCGCCGGACUGUUCCUAUUCCGUUUCCAGGGUGCGACGUUGUCGCGUCCGGGCUUUGUUUGUCCCUUGAGAAUUCCAUAGCGAGCACGAGCAUCUGAUUCUCCAAGCUACAAAGAGCCAACGGUGAAUGCCUUGGCGCCUAAAGCCGAUGAAGGACGUGGAAGGCUGCGAAAAGCCGCGGGGAGCCGCCUAUCAGGCUUUGAUCCGCGGAUGUCCGAAUGGGGAAACCCGG